ACUGCUCAGUAACACGUGGACAACCUACCCUGAAGAGGGGGAUAACCCCGGGAAACUGGGGAUAAUACCCCAUAGACUAUGGAUGCUGGAAUGCUCUGUAGUUCAAAGGUCCGCCGCUUCAGGAUGGGUCUGCGGCCGAUUAGGUUGUUGUUGGGGUAACGGCCCAACAAGCCUGUAAUCGGUACGGGUUGUGGGAGCAAGAGCCCGGAGAUGGAUUCUGAGACACGAAUCCAGGCCCUACGGGGCGCAGCAGGCGCGAAAACUUUGCAAUGCGAGAAAUCGUGACAAGGGAACUCCGAGUGCCUGUAAAAUCAGGCUGUCCGCCAGUGUAAACAACUGGUGAAGAAAGGGCCGGGCAAGACCGGUGCCAGCCGCCGCGGUAAUACCGGCGGCUCGAGUGGUGGCCACUAUUACUGGGCUUAAAGCGUUCGUAGCUGGUCUGUUAAGUCUCUGGGGAAAUCUUCCGGCUUAACCGGAAGGCGUCUCAGGGAUACUGGCAGACUAGGGACCGGAAGAGGUGAGAGGUACUCCAGGGGUAGGAGUGAAAUCCUGUAAUCCUUGGGGGACCACCUGUGGCGAAGGCGUCUCACCAGGACGGCUCCGACAGUGAGGAACGAAAGCUGGGGGAGCAAACCGGAUUAGAUACCCGGGUAGUCCCAGCUGUAAACGAUGCGCGUUAGGUGUAUCGGUGACCACGAGUCACCGAGGUGCCGAAGAGAAAUCGUGAAACGCGCCGCCUGGGAAGUACGGUCGCAAGGCUGAAACUUAAAGGAAUUGGCGGGGGAGCAC
rnacentral:rRNA from 1 species